rnacentral:rRNA from 1 species
AUGUCGUGGCUGACCGGCUUAUGCAACGCGGUGAACGCGACGCAGCCCGAGCUGUUCAAGACGCAGCUGGGCGCGCUGAUGAACAACCUCAGCAGCAAGGCGGCGUCAUCCCCGCGACUGUUCACGGCCGACACGGUCGACUUGACGCCCUUCACCAAGAUCCACGACAUGUCCCAGUGCACGCGCGACCUCGCCAGCGACGACUGCAACCGCUGCCUCGCCGUAGCCGUCUCGUACAUCCCAAAAUUUUGCGACGGGAGGGAGGGAGGACGGGUCGCCACCCGGAGCUGCUCCAUCCGAGAGUGGCGACGACGAAUCUUCCCUGGGGGUGCAGCAAACGACGACGCCACAGCCAAGAUAGCUCUGUUCGUCUGCAUUCCUGUUGCUGUCGUGCUAUUGGUGCUGUUGACGGUUGCUUUGUAUCUCUGCAAGAGGAAGAACAAGAAACCACACGAACAUGUGCAGAUAUCCAGCGCGGACAGUGAGUAUGGAGGAGACAUGGGAAGCUCAGAGUCUCUGUUGUACGAUUCCAGCACUCUAAGGGCAGCGCGUCCGCCUCGGUGCUGUGAUAGGCCGAGGACAUUCAAUUUCAAGAGUUUACGUACUACUCCUUACCAAUGUGCGUGCGCGCAGAUCCUGCGAGGCAGCAAGAGCUUACCUGGGGGCACAGGUUCAGAAUCAUCCAAGGGAUCAGGCGAGGCCUUCUUUACCUCCACGAAGAUUCGAGGUAGGACCGGGGCGUGCACAGCUCAGUUCAGGUUCGAGGGGGUUCGGACUGAGGAGUGGCCCACUCAACGAUCACGAUCGAUCAUGCCGAGGCAUGUGUGCAAGAAUGAUUUGCUCCGCCCACCACGGCAAAGACAGUUUUGA